rnacentral:sRNA from 1 species
GUCCAGCGGGCUCCGAACCCCGAGCGGAACAACCGGACAGGGGCGGGGGAACCACCUCCGGGCGCAACCCAGCGCCCUUGGGGUGAAGCCGGCACCAGCCGGCCGGGCUGCCCUCCAGCCCGAACCCGACAGCUCACCUCGCAGGUGCAGGUACGGAGAGAG